CUCGUAGACUCCUACGGGAGGCAGCAGUGGGGAAUAUUGCACAAUGGGCGAAAGCCUGAUGCAGCAACGCCGCGUGAGCGAUGAAGGCCUUCGGGUCGUAAAGCUCUGUCCUAUGGGAAGAUAAUGACGGUACCAUAGGAGGAAGCCCCGGCUAACUACGUGCCAGCAGCCGCGGUAAUACGUAGGGGCAAGCGUUAUCCGGAAUUACUGGGCGUAAAGGGUGCGUAGGCGGUUUAUCAAGUCAGGGGUGAAAGGCUACGGCUCAACCGUAGUGAGCCUCUGAAACUGGUGAACUUGAGUGUAGGAGAGGAAAGUGGAAUUCCCAGUGUAGCGGUGAAAUGCGUAGAUAUUGGGAGGAACACCAGUGGCGAAGGCGACUUUCUGGACUACAACUGACGCUGAGGCACGAAAGCGUGGGGAGCAAACAGGAUUAGAUACCCUGGUAG
rnacentral:rRNA from 1 species